rnacentral:rRNA from 1 species
GAUGAACGCUGGCGGCGUGCCUAAUACAUGCAAGUCGAGCGAACGGACGAGAAGCUUGCUUCUCUGAUGUUAGCGGCGGACGGGUGAGUAACACGUGGAUAACCUACCUAUAAGACUGGGAUAACUUCGGGAAACCGGAGCUAAUACCGGAUAAUAUUUUGAACCGCAUGGUUCAAAAGUGAAAGACGGUCUUGCUGUCACUUAUAGAUGGAUCCGCGCUGCAUUAGCUAGUUGGUAAGGUAACGGCUUACCAAGGCAACGAUGCAUAGCCGACCUGAGAGGGUGAUCGGCCACACUGGAACUGAGACACGGUCCAGACUCCUACGGGAGGCAGCAGUAGGGAAUCUUCCGCAAAGGGCGAAAGCCUGACGGAGCAACGCCGCGCGAGUGAUGAAGGUCUUCGGAUCGUAAAACUCUGUUAUUAGGGAAGAACAUAUGUGUAAGUAACUGUGCACAUCUUGACGGUACCUAAUCAGAAAGCCACGGCUAACUACGUG